AAUGUCCGCAUUCCAGCUAAUGUUGCGCAGAUAAAAUUCAAACUUGAGGUAAACAGAAGAAGAGGAGGAGGAGGAGGAGGAGGGGAGGGGGGAGGAAGGGGGGACUGUUUCCAUUUCGAGAUCCCACCUCUUCCCUCCGCGCAGCCCAACAUCCCGAACCUAGAGACAACUCUUGCCUUUCUCCCACGUCCCCCACCUUUGCUGUCAACAAGAAAUAAAGGCGGGGCGGGGGGGGGGGUUGGAGGUAGGGGGUGGCGUGCUUAUUAAUUAGAAAGGACGCGGUGUCUCGGUUCUCCACUGGAAUCAGCAACUCCCUGGAACUCGGGCCUCUGGCCCCGUCCCUCUUUUCUCCGGCAGGGACGCAGGAUGCCUUGGUGCACUCUAGAGACGGGGACCGGAGGGUGCAGCGCGCCUGGGUGGGGCGAAGGGCGCCGGUCUCCUCACGCCCUCUGACUUUAGGAUACCAGACAGUGUCUCUUCAACCCCACCCCAGGCGCAGGUUUCCAGAAGGCGGGGUGGGUGGGGCCCCCGAUUUCCAGAAGGCGAGUUACCUAGCAGGAGAAAAAUCAAGACGUUCCCUUCAGUCCUCCCUCGGUGUUAACGUCUGCUCCAGCUCGCAGCCCGCUGCUGGGCAUUUUAUUAAUGCUUUUACGAGUUAGAAGAGUUGGGAUAAUUUGCCAUCUGGAGUUUCUCUGCCUUGCUGAUCUGAGCUCAGACCUGCCAAUUUACCAGAGAUAAUUGAUAACACCCUGUAACAGCUGAGAGGAAAAUGGAAGAAACGGAGAUACUUUUAGUGAAGCAGAAUAAACCACUGAACAGGAAAAAUGAGGAAGCUGUGAGUACCAGUGGAAGGAACGAGCCAGGAAGAGGGACUGGAACCAUCUCAGAAGCCAUGCCCCUCAGGCUGGAACUUGCCCUGUCUCCUCGCAGAUGAGCUACCUCUUGUGUUUAAGAAUUAAAGGAAGAUGAGCUAGGAAUCAAGAAAUACGCAGAACUGAUUCCUGUCACUGGCGCCACCCUGCCACUUGCCCAGAGCUGUGGUAUAAAUUUUUUUAAUAGGCUGAAAUAAAAAUAUGAAUAGCAUUUUGGUAUUAAGCAUUAAAUUGAUAAAGGCUAUGAGAUACACCUGCUCUCAACCAUGUUAAUUUUUUAUUAUUGGUAUUAAUAAAUUAUUACUUACUAACAUAUUAACAAGAAUUGCAUUGAGAAACAAAGCAUCCACAGGCCAAAUCUUCUGAAUUUCAAAUGUUUAUAUUAAUGCGUUGUAUUCUAGAAAAGUAGAAUUGUCUUAAGUAGCUUUGUAAUAUAAAGUCAUCUAUCAGCCCAUUACACCUAUUAGAAUGUUUUAACCUUUAUUUCCCACUUUUUUGUUUCUAGACUGAGUGUACUUGGUCUGGUAUUUGUGGCAUAACUUACGGAACACAUAAGAAUGAUACAGAUACUAUUUAAUGAUGACCUAAUACAAGCUUAGAUAGCUAAGGUGAAAGCUUCUAUGGCCUUAACAUUUUCCUCUUGAAGAAUGUAUUUUCUGUAAUAAAAUACAGUGGCUACUUGAAAUCUAUAAACUUAUGUGAGGUCUGGAUAAAUCUGAGCAACUUUCUUCUUUGUGCUCCAGGAACCUACGCACUAUAUAUAUAAAUAAAGCUUAAGUAAACAUCACUGCAAUCUGUGUUUUGUUUGAUUAUAUUACGUAUUGCCUGAUCUUUAAAUAAUGAUGAAAAAUAGCCUUUAACAUAAACCAUGAAUGGAUAUGCACUUGAGGGAAACAGUUUCUUGGAUAAUUAAACUUUAAUUUCUCACCGUGGAUUCCUUGGAUCUUGUAAUAUUUUUUAAAACAGUCCUGGGGAUUUAUUUUUAAGGCGUCCAAAUGAAUUAUUAGUUCUCAAAAGCCAUAGUAUAUUCAUGGGUCGAUAUAUCCUCAAAACACUAUUUUUAAACUGCUUAGUUUAUUUUUCUUAGCGUGCUCAUCUGCUGCAUAAUUUUCUUUGCUAUGUAUGGGUCACAUGCUUCCUCCCGUCCAUAACUCACGCACUUAAAAUUCUCACUUCCUGAUUGAGCCAUCAGAUUACGUAAAAUGUAAAUCAGCCUGAAUACCUAGGAGCAGGAAUUUUAAGGGAGAAAAUGCCGUUUUCUUUUUCUGUGUCAUUAUUAACCCUUAAAUAUCAGAGUGAGUGUCUGCUCACCUAUUUGUAUUUGGAAACGAGAUACUGUUAGGGGUUUUUCUUGGCCCUUCCCUUUCAGAUUGAAUCAGACUUUGCUGCUUUCCUUAUACAAAAUAAUGUACCAACUAGAUAGACGGUGGGAGUGGUAUCGUUGCAGGAAUGAAACCAAAAGGGUUCCGAUGAUUGAGAGAGAUUCAUUUAUUUUUUAACUCUUCUCAUGAUCUGAAUGAAGAGUACAGCAUCUAUCAAAAGGUAACAACCUAAUAUUUCAGAAUUGCAAGUGGCCAUUUAGCCUUUCUGCUGCCUGAUAUAAAUGAAAGUAAUUCCUAGCAGGCAGGAUGACACUUGUUUUAUCACGAAUCUGACAAUCCAGCACAUUUUCUCAAGCAAUUUUGAAGUUGUCGUAGUAACAGCAUGGCAUUUGGAGGGUCUUUUUAGUAGUUCUUUAGCUAGAGUUAAUUAAUUGUAUUAACUCUGGAUGUUUUUCUUUUUACUCCUCUUUGACAAACAAGGGCUAUAAUUGCUCAAAUAUGUAUUUUGUGUUCUAUAUUUUUUGGUGACUAUAGUUUAAGGACGUGAUGUUUUUAAGUGGUUUCAGUAAAAGGUUAUCAGUUGAUUUCAGACACAUUAAACUUGGGUUUUUAAUUUCUCUGUAAAAUUCCACUAUCAUUGUAGGACCAGGAUUUAGUUUUAUUUAAGAAGUGAAUCUGGGGAGAUAUUUGCACAAAUUGAAUUGUGGCUUGCUUCCAGUGGUUGCAACUAUCCGUUGCUUUGAUUUUGGUGUAUUUAGAAAAAGAACUGGGGAAUGCAGAAAGGGAAAUGUGUCAGGCUUACAGGAGAAAAUUGUUUCUUUAGAAAUGCAACAGGCAGGCACACCACCAAAAGCAUGUUCCAUAAAAGAAAACAAAUAAAUUUGAUUUUGUGAAACUUAAGAAUGCAGUGCUCUUUGAAACUCUAAAAUAUACUUAAAUAAAUUCUCCCCUAGGAAGAUUUGUGGGAACUUUUUAUUGGUGGAAAGUAGGUUGGAACUUCUAGUAUUAAUAGUAAAACUCUGUGGCAGAAAUUCUUGCCAAUAUGGCGGUUGGUGAGAAAGGAAUCCCGUUUCUUGGGCAGGGAGAGGGUCAGAAGAAAGAAUUGUCUGUACUCAGUCUGGAUGCCGGGACUUAAAAAGUAUCAGAUAUACAAUGCUUUUGUUUUCUUGUAUAAGUGAACAGAGAGAUGUGACACUUCUAAAAGGUCUUGUGAGUUUUGUGGGUUUAAUGCUAAUGCCACUAUCCUUACUGUUCUGUGAGUAUUUGUUCAGCCACGGGUGAUUCAAGAGAGUUGGGGUAUCAGCAUGUGCAGCCAACAGCAGUCCAGGUGCUAAUGCACCACCGGUGAUGUCAGGAGUUACGAGACAGCGGUUUCCAAACACUGCAGUAAACAAGGUCAAAGUGUCCCGUUUCGCUGGAAGAAGUUUUGUUUUUAUGAGCUGGACAGUACAUGGAUGAAGUAAUUUUUCAAAACAAACUUUAAAUUUAUACAUGUGUUUUUUUUCUUCUUCUCUUUGGAUUAAAAUAAAUUGGCCCGUUGAGAUUAAAUAAUGGUUAUGUUUUUAAGCAGAAUUAUAUUUCAUAUGUUUUUCCAGUCUUUUAUUGAUUUUCUGUUUUUCACAGAAGAAAUGAAAAUAACUUCUGAUGUAGGGUUUCUUAAAUGCAGUUUGAGAGAGCAAGAUAGGAACCAGUACUUUCAAAAUAUGGCAAGUGCAAGUCACAAUCCCUAGUAAGAUAUUCCUUCUCAUUUUGUGCCUUUGACUCUUAUUUAGACAGACGUUUAAGUACGAGAAAGCUAAUGGCGCAGAUUCUGCUGACUGUGUGGCUCUCGUCUUAAUGCGUUUUCCAACCUUGAACCUGAGAAUGCCAGAGGAUUGAGUCUCUGGACGUUCAUCUGAGCAGAUAUCUGCUGGCCGCCUGGUUCCUGAGCUAACAAGUGGGUGUCCCGGGCUUGUGUGUGUAGUCACAACAGUGGAGGUGCCACGUGGCACCCAGAGGUCGACUGGGGCUACCGCGGGGCUUCCCGAUCCUCACAAGUGUGUCUUCAGUGUCUGACAUGAACUGGGAACUUGGGGCAUCUUUAGAAGCACAGACAUUUGGAGUUCCACGGCAAACCUGGAUGUAAGCACUCACACAGCUUUUAAAGUGAAAGCAGGGACCUUGAGGAAGGAAUCGCCGUCAUCUCAUUGCCGACCUGCUUACUGUGCUGGGAAACAAAGACAAGUCCUGCGCUUGGGGAUCCUCUGUACGCCCGUUCACUGGUGCAGGUCUUCUGAACAAAUGCCUCCUGAGGAUUUCUGUGCCUGGAAAAUAUCUGUUAACAGACUGCUUUUACACCUACGUAAGUAGAGGCUUCUGCUUAUAAGUCAACCUCAAGGGAGUUUUAUUUUGUCCCUGGAUGAUUCCUCAGUACAUUUUUCUUUUUCUUUUUUGAGGUAGGGUUUUGCUCUGUUGCCCAGGCUGGAGUACAGUGGUGUGAUCACAACUCACUGCGGCCUCAACCUCCCAGGCUCAAGCGAUCCUCCCACCUCAGCCUCCCAAGUAGCUGGGACCACAGGCGUGUACCACCCACGCCUGGCUAGUUUUUUAAAAUUUCUUUUGUAGAGGCAGAGUCUCCCUGUGUUGCCCUGGUUUCAAACUUGGGCCAAGUGAUUCUCUGCCCCAGCCUCUCAAAGUGCUGGGAUUACAGGUGUGAGCCACCGUGCCUGACAAGCCUGAUAUGUUUUUUUAAAUGAUCAUUAGUAUUUGAUCUCUACUCUUUUUCUCUCAACCACCCAACUCCCGGUUUACGGUCAGGAAGAAUCUAUAACAUGAACUCCUGCUUAAAAACAAGGGUAUAGAUCCCAUAUUCAGGUCUUAGACUGGGAAGAAGAGAAGGCAGUCAAAAAUAUUAAAUAUAUGAAUUUCAGUAAAUUCAGUUGGGGAUGCCAUUUCAGCUUUGCAGUCAGUUACUCCAGAAUAUGUCAAUGUAUGGCAAAGCAUGUGACAGCAGGAUCUCUGCACCCUCUCCAUUUACCAGCUGUGGUGGAUCUCUUAGCCACAUCUCUGUUUAUAAUGUGCUUAUUGAAAACUAAUGUAUUACUUUUAUUAUCAUAGCUACCAUUUACUGAAUAUUUACAUUGUGCUAACACUGGUUCAGAUGGCUUCAUCAUAUUUACCUGAUUUAAUCCUCACAACAACCUUAUGUGCUAGGUCCAGUUAUUACCAUCUUUUUUUUUUUUUGAGACGGAGUCUCACUCUGUCGCCAGGCUGGAGUGCAGUGGCGCGAUUUCGUCUCACUGCUGCAACCUCCGCCUCCCAGGUUCAAGUGAUUCUCCUGCCUCAGCCUCCCAGGUAGCUGGGACUACAGGCACAUGCCACCACGCCCAGCUAAUUUUUGUAUUUUUAUAGAGACGAGACUUCACCAUGUUGGCCAGGAUGAUCUCAAUCUCUUGACCUCGUGAUCCGCCCAUCACAGCCUCCAAAAGUGCUGGGAUUACAGGCGUGAGCCACCGCACCCGGCCUAUUACCCUCAUUUUACAGAUGAGGAGACUGAGGCACAGAGAGUUAAAGUGAUUUGUGCAGGGUUGUGUGAGGAGCUGGUGGCAGAGCUUGGCAUUCUGGCUCUGGAGUCUGCAUUUGGCCAUCUCACCGUACAGUGUCAUAGAAACAGGAAACUCGAGAAGAUAAACUGCCAGGCUGUAUUUUGGAGUCAGUAUUUUAACACUGUCACCAUCUCAAGCAUGAUCUGUGGGACUCAUCACUGUGCUCUUUGACUUGAACUUCUUUAAGGUUAGUGGGAAAAUGAAGCUUUAGAGAAGAUGGGACUGGCCUAAGGUCACACUGCAUGUCAGAAGUGUGGUGGAGGGUCCAGGUCUUCUGACCAUUCAGUGCAAGCCAAAUUGUGCUAAUUUCCAAUUUUUCUCCCUUUCUCUUGGUGAGCUAUUUGGUGCUACUUCUACUCCUCAUGACCAAAGCUGGCUUUCAUGGUUUACUCAUGUACUUACUGAUGAAACCCUGAGACUUGGGGCCAGUGACUGUUCAGAGGUCCAUGUGAAGAUGCGCUGAAUGGUAUAAAGGACAGAGCAGUAAAGAGUGCUGGCUGAAUGCCUGGGCUGGCAAUCAGGCAUGUUGGAGUUUGAGUCCCAGUCUGCCACUCCAGCUCUGUGACCAAGAGGAAGUGAAGUCAUGUACCCUUUCUAAGUCUCUAGCCCCUCUUCUGAAAGACGAAGAUGCCACCACCAACCAUGUUAGUGGUUGUGAAUGCCAAGAAAGUCCAUGUGAAGCACAUAGCAUAGUGUCUGCCAUGCGUUAAGUGUUCCAAAAAUGGAAGCUAUGACUAUUUCACAGAGUACACUUCCCAUCACUUUUCAGUUCAUUUUGGCCUUCUCCCUCAAAAGCACUCCAGUGUUCUGAUCCAGCUGAUAAAACACCAAACAUUCACAUAGUGCUUUAAAAGUGACCCACUGUUUUUACAGACUGCAUUACAUAUGACCCUAACAACCACUGCAAUAUAGAAAUUCGCAUCUCCAUUCUCCAGAUCAGGAUACCGAAGCUCAGAAAAAUUAAAUGAUUUGCCCAGGAUCACAUAGUUAGUAAGCAGCCCAGCCAGAUCCUGUGUUAACUUGUUCAUCCGCUUCCUAUAAGAAAACAUCCAUUCAAGGCACAUGGGGCAACAAAGAAGGACUUAGAGCUGUGUGGCCCCUCGUCAGGGCAGUACCAGUUGCACCCAUAGUCCGGCCUGAAUACUCAGCUUAGGACUAUUGUGUCCAAUGUCCCAAACAUUUUGAAGCUACAUCUUAAAGAAGUGUCCUGCUCAGAUGCAGUUCUCCUUGUGAAAUCCGCAGGCCCCAAGGAAAGUGACUUUAAUCCAGUUUGCUCAUGCAAGAACAGACUGGCAUUUCACAUCCAGGAAAACAAUGGAUUUGUACUGUUCAGCUUUUGCCAUGCAAGGAGUUCCUGGUGUGGUUUAUUAAUUUACAUCUCAGGCUCCAGCUUCACUAUCAAUCAGAUUUGGAAGAAAAAAGUUACAAAGAAAGGCAGCUUGCUGAGAAACAGCGGAAGCAUGACGGUACAGACUGGGUUUUGAAAUGGAGACACAUUCUCAUGGCUUGUGGGCUGAGAGACACUGAGAAAGGAUUUUGUUCUUGAAAGAUGAUUGUUUUAAUGCUGGAGAUGGAGAGUUUUGACAAUUUUAAGUGCAUGUUCUGUGUGUAAGAAAGAGUCAUUACGUUUUUUUUUUCUUUCAGAUGUUGCCAUGCCUUAAAAUUGCUGAUGAUUAAAAUAGAACAUCCUGAGUUACAGAAAUUCAGCCCUAGUGUAUCCUGGCCUAAAAAUACAGAACAAUCAAGUUGAUUGUUGGAAAUGAGAGGCUAGGCAGGGUUGGAAACAUGCUAAUGUUUACUGAGUGAAAUCUUUCCUUCUCAGUAGAGUUGCCCUUGCAGCUGAAAGUCACUGAAAGACUCAACAAAAUAAGCAGAUCCCACUUGUCUCACUCUGUUCUCCUAUGCAUGCCCUGGAAAGAGAAUGAAUGAGCCCUUUUUAAUUUAUCAACUGGUUUUCUUCCAUCUCUUUACUAGUGAGCCAUGGGGGUUUUUUGCCGUUAACUGGGUAGCCAGUCUCUUCAUGGAGACUUAUUUUCAGGAAACUAGCCUCUUGCUUUAUGUGAAAACAAGGACCCAACUCAAGAUGUCUUAUCACAGUGUGUUCUGUUGCGUAACAGUUGCAUCUGUAGUCCAGCCUCAAUACUCAGGUUGGGACUGUUUUGUCCUGAUGUCUCGAACAUUUCAAAGCUACGUUCUUAAAGAAAUGUCCUGCUCAGAUAGAGCUCUCCUUGUGAAAUCCUCAAACCCCAGGGGAAGUGACCUUAAGCCAGUUUGCUGGCUUUUCAUGUCACAGAAAACAAUCGACUGCCACUACUCAGCUGUUGCCACACAGGAGUACCUGGCGUGGUCACUACUUGCCAACUCAGUACCCCACUUUCUCCCCAAGGACAUAAAAGCAAUGUGGGAAGAUAUACCAAAUGACCUUGUCACACUGGGCUAAUAUGAAGAGCCCACAGAUGCAAAAUAAUGUAUCAUACCUUUAUUCUUCUGAUUUUUUUUUUUUUUUUUUUUUUCGGAGACAGUCUCACUCUUUUGCCCAGGCUGGAAUCCAGUGGCGCGAUCUUGGCUCACUGCAACCUCUGCCACCCGGGUUCAGGCAAUUCUCCUGCCUCAGCCUCCCGCCCAGCUAAUUUUUGUAUUAUUAAUUAGUAGAGAGAGGGUUUCACCUUCUUGGCCAGGCUAGUCUUGAACUCCUGACCUCGUGAUACACCUGCCUUGGCCUCCCAAAGUGCUGGGAUUACAGGCGUGAGCCACCGUGCCUGGCCUUUUUUUUUUUUUUUUUUUUUUUUUUUUGAGAUGGAGUCUGGCUGUAUUGCCCAGGCUGGAGUGCAGUGGCAUGAUCUUGGCUCACUGCAACCUCUGCCUCCCAGGUUCAAGUGAUUCUCCUGCCUCAGCCUCCUGAGUAGCUGGGAUUGCAGGCAUCCCAUACCCGGCUAAUUUUUUUGAAACAGAGGCUUGCUCUGUCACCCAGGCUGGAGUGCAAUGGCACGAUCUCAGCUCAGUGCAACCUCCGCCUACUGGGCUCAAGCAACUCUCCUGCCUCGGCCUCAGCCUCACUACAGGCAUGUGCCACCACGCCUGGCUAGUUUGGUUUUUUUUUUUUGUAUUUUUUUAGUAGAUAUGGGGUUUCACCAUGUUGGCCAGGUUGGUCUCAAACUUCUGACCUCAAGUGAUCUGCCUGCCUCAGCCUCCCAAAAUGCUGGGAUUACAGGUAUGAGCCACCACGCUUAGCCUUCUGCUGAAUUUUUGAGAAGCAUACAUAAAGACAAUGUAAAAAACUUAGCAUAUUUGUUUGGCCCUGCUAAGGGCAUGGUUGAAUAUAUAGUGUGUGUGAUGUAUUUGGUGUAUGAGAUAUAUAUGAUCUUAUCAGACAUAAGUAAAAGAAAUUCAUUCUUCAGGAAAAAUUUUCCCCAUAACUGAAGUGUCAAUCAUUUGAAAAAACUUCUAGGCAGUAGGCAAACACUGUGACUAGUUAUUUAUCAAAAAUAAGCAGACUUUAGAGUUUUGUAACUGAUGAGAAUAAUCUGGCUGCUUCUUUUGUACUUCAGUCACUGAUACUGCGAAUUAGAGUAGCAUAUACAGAAGGAUGCAGGGGGUCCCUAAAGGAAUCACAGAAUUAGUGAAACCAUUAUUUGAGAGUUGCAGUGAUUCUUCUGUCCUGGCACUUUUCCCAGUUUUGGUGCUUAAAUUUACUAUCCACUUGAAAUGUGUCACUGCCUGUCACUUCACAAAGUAUGUGCCUUUCACUGCAGUCAACAAGCUGUUUACAUCUUUGAUGAAAUGAUUGCCACGCAUCUCCAUAGCCCUGGUGUUCUAUUCCCUUAUUCACAGAGAUUUUUUUUAAAAACCAGCCUAGCAGCAAUAGGUAUGUGCUGUGGAUGCUUCUCCAUGAUGAUAAAGGAUGAGUUUGUGCUGGGAUCUCCUUAUGAAAAGAUAACUGGCCAAGCCCAUGAGGAACAAGAAUGUUAUGCUAAUCAGACCCAAGGUAAACAGCCUGCAGUGCACCUCCUGACUGAUUAGCACUGAACCCACUUGGAAUCAUCAACCACAGUUUAUAAAAACAGUGCACACCCCUUUAAUUAGGUGGCCUGGGUACAUGAAGUAUCUUUUUGGAUGCCUAGAACACAAAAAGGGACGACAACAGGCCACCUAAUAAGAUGAUACCAAGAACUAUACCAUGACGGCGAAAAAGAACUGCUGCAAAAAAUAAUUUGCCAAGGAGAACUCAGAGUACAAAGCCUUACCUUUGGAGUAGAGGGAAGGAGAGUCUUAAGUAAAGCUCACAAAAACCCCUAACUCAUAGAUGCAGUCUAAGGAAUUCAUUCCGGAAGCGACAUUAGCAUCUCAUUAGUGCCAUUAUGUGACUUACUUGGCCUCUGAGCUAGUCUAUUUUCUUCCCUAGACCCCAAAAUCUCAGUAAUCCUUUGGAUCCAAGUUAUCUCCAAGUGAAAAUAAUAGGUUUAGGAAAGCGUUUUUCUUCAACUUCUAUGGAGCACUUGCUUGCUUUGUCCUAUUUGCAUGUCCGACGGACGGUUCUCCAGCACCACUGCUAGUCGUCCUCCGCCUGCCUGGGUACUUGAUCACAGGAUGCCUCUGACUUCUCCUGCCUUUACCCAAGCAAAGGAUUUUCCUUGUCUUCCCACCCAAGAGUGACGGGGCUGACAUGUGCCCUUGCCUCUAAAUGAUGAAGCUGAACCUUUGUCUGGGCAACUUAACUUAAGAAUAAGGGAGUCCCAGGCAUGCUCUCCCAUCAAUAACAAAUUCAGUGACAUCAGUUUAUGAAUAUAUGAAAUUUGCCAAAGCUCUGUUUAGACCACUGAGUAACUCACAGCUAGGUUUCAACUUUUCCUUUCUAGGUUGUCUUGGGUUUAUUGUAAGAGAGCAUUAUGAAGAAAAAAAUAGAUCAUAAAGCUUCUUCAGGAAGCUGGUUUCAUAUGGUGGUUUAGAUUUAAAUAGUGAUUGUCUAGCACCAUUUGAAAUCAGUGUUCUUGGGGGAGACCAGCUGCGCUGCACUACCAACAGCAAAAGAAGUGAAUGGGACAGCUCUGAAGUAUUUGAAAGCAACAGCAGGAUGGCUGUGAGAACCUGCCUCACAUGUAGCUGACCCCUUCCUCACCCCUGCCAACAGUGGUGGCAUAUAUCACAAAUGGCAGUCAGGUCUCUGCACUGGCGGAUCCAACUGUGAUCGAAAGUUUUCCAAAAAUAAGUUGUGUCUGUAUUGAACAUGAACAGACUUUCUUCUUGUCAUUAUUCUCUAACAAUACUGCAUAACAAUUAUUUGCAUACAUUUGCAUUGCAUUAAGUAUUCUAAGUAAUCUAGAGACGAUUUAAAGUAUACGGGAGGAUGUGUGUAGGUUGUAUGCAAAUACUACACCAUUUUCUAUCAGAGACUUGAGCAUCUGUGGAUUUUGGUAUCCAAGGGGCUUUCUGGAACCAAUCCCUCAAGGAUACCAAGGGAUGAAUGUAAUUGUACAGGAUAUCGCAUUGUUGGAAUUUUAUACUUCUUUGUGGAAUAAACCUAUAGCACUUAAUAGAUAGUACAGACUCAUUCCAUUGUGCCUGGGUUAAAGAGCCCAAUGUAUGCUGGAUUUAGUAAGAUUUGGGCCCUCCCAACCCUCACGACCUUCUGUGACCCCUUAGAGGAUGACUGAUUUCUUUUGGUGUUCAGAGUCAAUAUAAUUUUCUAGCACCAUCUGAAAUCGGUUAUAAUGAUUGGGGAAGAGCACCAUGAUGCUGACUGCUGAGAGGAAAUGUAUUGGUGACCGUUGGGGCCAUGGACAAGAACUAAGAAAACAAAUGCAAAGCAAUAAUGCAAAGGUGAUUUUUCUUCUUCCAGUUUCUAAGUUGAAUUUCACUGACCUGAAUUGCAUGUGGUAUAAUACUAACAAAUGGUUCACUAUUAGCAUAUCAUGAAUGGUUAUACUUUAUAGAAAUUCCAUAGACUUGGUGGGGGUUUUGUUUUGGUGACGGAUACCUAGAAACACUCCUGGGGAAAAUCGAUGACUGGCUUAGAUGAUGGGAAAGGAGCAGCGAGGGAGUCAAUUCUGUUGUUGAUGAGAAGCUGCACCAGCUAUCUCUGAACUCUCCUCUCUUAGCUGGCUGAGGAGUUCCCUCCAUGGUUAAACAGGUCAUUUUCUUACAUAAGGAAAAAUGGUCCAGAGAAACUGGGUUUCUAUGGCUGAGACAGAACUGUGCUAAUAUGUGUCAGUUCAGUUUAGAAGGCAAAGCAACAAAAGCAGGUGCUACUUGAACUAGGAUCCUAGAGUAUACCUUUGAUAUGGUUUGGAUGUUUGUCCCCUCCAAUCUCAUGUUGAAGUGUGAUCCCCAGUAUUGGGGGUGGGGCCUGGUGGGGGUGGUUGAGUGAUGGGGCGGAUCCCUUGUGAAUGGCUUGGUGAUGUCCUCACUUAACGAGUUCCUGCUCAGUUAGAGGGAGCCGGUUGUUUAAAAAAGCUGGCACCUCCUUCCUCUCUCUUGCUCUUUCUUUCUUGCUCCCUCUCUCGCCAUGUGACAUGUCUGCUCCCUCUCCGCCUUCCACCAUGUAUAAAACAUCCUGAGGCCUCAUCAGGAGCCGAGCAGGUACCAGUGCCAUGCUUGUACGGCUGCAAAACUGUAAGCCAAAUAAACCUCUUUACUAUAUAAAUUACCCAGUCUCGGGUAUGUCUUUAUAGCAGCGCAAAACGGACUAACACAACCUCACUAGAAGUGAAGUCAUUAGACCAAAAACAAUACUGAGUUUUUAGGUCCACUAAGAGGCAAAAAUAAAAGGCUCUUUAUAGCAGCAUGAUUUAUAAUCCUUUGGGUAUAAGCACAUGUAUGCUAGAACUUAAAGUAUAAUAAUAAAAUAUAAAAAUAAUAAAAUAAAAUAAAAGGCUCAAGAAUGAGCCAUCUCGGCCGCUCCUCCUCCAGGGGCCCCUGUGUGCAGCUCCCAACACAGGUACUGCACAGACCGGCCACCUGCUGUCCCCAUGUGGCGUCCUGGAGAACUGCAGGGGCACCUGGUGGAAUUUGGGCCUUGUCCUUCUGUUUUCUUUCUGGCCUGGAAAAGCCACUGGCCUCACAAUCAAGAGUUAAUAUUCUAUCUACCCUGCUUAAGCUUUCCCGCCCUCUCACACUGCCUCCCUCCUUUUCCCUCCUGCCUGUCACUUGUCUGGAAAAGGCCUUUUCUCCUCGGGGCUAACACAUGCAAUUUGUAGCCAAAACAUUCUGUCUACCACACAAAUCCAACGAGAAUCAGGAUCAUUCCACCACAUCUUUUUCUAUCCCAUGGUUAUUAUUUUCCCAAAACUCUUGUCUUUUGCUUUCUUACCUAUUCGCUGUUUUCCCUAAGUAAUCUUAUUUACUCCCCUGGUUCCAAAUACAUCCCUAUGUGUUGAUUUCCCUCAAACCAGAGGUCUGGCCUGGGAUAUUUUUUGAGACAUCUUGCUUUUUAUAUUUUUAGUAGCUCCUAAGUAUAAUAGUUCAGCCUGCUCUUCUAAACUUGUCUCAAUUUAAUCCAUUUAUGCUUGAGGUUGCAAUUUUUUGAAUUUUUGCCAUCAGACCUUGGCAAUGACCUUGAGCAGUAGGAGACAACUCCCACAUGCUUAGCAUUCCAAUAAUGGAACACUAGGCAUAUACCAAAGCCAUCCACAUUGCCUUCUCCCCAAAGCCAGCUCUCCCUGCUCUGCCCCAUGGUGAAAGCUGCGAACACCAGAGGUCUGUGACCUCUUCCCUCUCCCUUACCCACAUCCAUACUCAGCACAACUUGUUGCUGUUCUCUCUCAAUUCUCUCUUUAGGAUCCAUCCCUUUCUCUGCUCUUCCUAGACAGCUUUCUGGGCCCACCCCUCGCCAUUAGUCUAGCUUUGUUAUAGCCACCAGUUAAUCUUUGUAAAAUACAUACGUGAGCUGGGCACGGUGGCUGGUGCCUGUAAUCCCAGCUACUCAGGAGGCUGGGGCAGGAGGUUGCUUGAGCCCAAGAGGUUGAGGCUGCAAUGAGCCAUGAUUGCAUCACUGCACUCCAGCCUGGACGACAGACCAAGAUCCCAUCUCUUUAAAAAAUAAAAAUAAAAAUUGUUUAACCACAUGACCUUGCUCCUUGUCCCUCACUUUUAGCUGAACUCUUAUAAGUGUGUCAACCAGGUACCAGACCCUUCAUGACCCCAUGCCUACCUGUGUCACCAUCUUCUGGCUGUGCUUCCUGGGGCCUGUGUUCUGUGCUCACCCAGCUGCUUGCUGCUGAGAACACUCAGGUAUCUUGGCAUUUCUUAGCCUGUGUCUGUGCUAUUUCCUCUGCCCACAUCUCCCCUCUCCUCCUCCUCGUCAGCUAGGGACCUCCAGCCCCUAGGGACUGUAAGCUAGGGACCUCCAACCUGCAGCCCCUGGCUCAGGUGUAAACUUGUCUAGGAAGCCUUCCUCUGCCUUCUGCAUCAAGGCUUAGAUCCCUGGGCAAAGGCUUUCUUCUCUGUACCCCUUCAGAGCCUGAUGGCACUUCGCAUGUUAUAUUCUCAUGAUUGAUUACCUACUAGGCUUCUCUGCAAGGCUGGAAAAUCCUUGCUCCUAGGAGGGACGGUAGACAAGAACAAGACAUACUGUGUACACUCCAUUCUUACAUUCCACGUGAGCUAUCCUUUGUGUAGGUGUCUGUGGCAAAUCUUCCUUCUAGGCUGCAGCCUCUACUUUUCAUAGUUUCUCUCCAUUUUCAUCUGCCAUGUGCAUGAGGAAUAAAAACUACUUCCAAUGAUGACCAAAAUAAGAUGGAAGAAAAUAACCCUGCUUCAAAGAACAUUUCUGAGACCAUAAAUAUGAUUUUGAUGUAUCUUCCAUUAUGGAUUACCCAUGUGGUUUUUUUUUUCCUUCUAAAUGCAUAAACAGGAAUUGUUUAAUAGGCUAGAGAGCCAUGAAAAGCAAAAUAAUUAAGGAUUGUUGUCCUCAUUUCAUAGAAGAGCAAACAAAGACAGAAAAACAGAUGUGCCUUAACCAAAAAGGGCAGUAAAUUUAUGCAAAGCAGACUGAACCCCCAUUAAAAGUAAUCAUUUACAGCGACCAAGGGCCAAGCACGUGAUCACCACCCUCCUCUCCCAAUAGCUCUGAAGGGUGGGUAGUAUUUCCCCAGCUUAUGCACGAGGAAACAGAUGCACAGGAAAGUCAAGUAACUUGCCUGCAAUGCCACGGCUAGUCAACAUGAGAGUUUGAAUUACAAAUCAGGUGGCGGUGGCGGUGGUGAUGAUGAUGAUAAUAGCAGCUUAUCAUCAUCAUUGAGCUCUUAUUUUGUGUUAGAUACUUGGUAAGUAUUUUGCAUGAAUUAGCUCAUUUAGUCUGACUUUCAAAACAGCCCUUUGAGGUCAGUGUUAUUAUCAUCAUUCCCAUUUUGCCAUGAAGAAACAAAAGAAUUAAAUAAUCCAAGAUCGUCUAACUGACAUUUCCAAGCAGGAGCACAAACCCAGAUCUCUGUGAUUCCAGAGCCUGUGCUCUUAAAUCAGCACUGCUCAUUUCAGUGUGGGAGAUGGCGUAAAUGGGUGUGUUCACUUGCUGGGCAGCCUCAUCUGUGGUCCCCUUGAUCCCCACCUACUGGCAUUCAUGCCCUGUGCUAUUCCCUCCCCUGGAGUGUGGACUGGACCUAGUAAUUUGCUUCUAAUGGAUGGAAUAUGUCAAAAGUGAUAGAUGUCACUUCUGAGACUAGGUUACAAAUAGACUGUGAUUCUGUUGUCUUCUUCCUCAGGCUUGCACCCUCACGACAUGCUCUCUCUCUCUCCCUCUCCUCUUUUCUCUCUUCUCUCCCUUCUCUCCUCUCUCUUAUCUCUCUCUUCUCUCUCUCGUACACAUACUCUGGAAAGCCAGCUACCAUACUGGGAACUGCCCAAUGGAGAGGCCCACAUUCCACAAGGAACUGAUGUCUUCAGCCAAUACCUCGCCAGGACCUGAGGCCUGCUGAGAGUCACGAGUGGCCUUCGUGGGUCCUCUCUCAACGAGCUUGCAGGUGACCACUGCGCCAGCCAAAACCUUGAUGGCAGCCUAUGAGUGAGUGACCCUGAGCCAGAAGACCCAGUUAAGCCAUGCCCAGGAUCCUGACCUGCAGAAACUAUGACAUAAUAAAUUUAUUGUUUUAUGCCACUAACUUUUGGGGUUACUUAUGCAGCAAUAGAUAGCUAAUACAGCUCAUAGUAUCCUUAUCUAGCCUCAAACAUUCUGCCUUUAGUAUCUAACUUUCCUAACUUUUUAGAUAAACUUUUUUGGGGGGGAUAAUUUUAGAUUUACAGAAAAAAGGCAAAGAUAGUAUAGAGAGUUCCUUUAUAUUUCUCUCCUAGUUUCCUCUAUUGUUCAUAUCUCAUAAAACGAUGGUUUUGGGUUUUUUGAGACGGCGUCUCACUCUGUCACCCAGGCUAGAGUGCAGUGGUGAUCAUAGCUCACUGCAGCCUUGAACUCCUGGCUCAAGGGAUCUUACUACCUCAGCUUCCCAAGUAGCUGGGUUCACAGCAUGUACCACCACACAUGGCUAAUUAAAACAUAUAUAUAUUAUAUAAUAUAUAUAUUUUAAGUUAUUAGUAAGUAUAUCAAAUACUGCUCCAGAUUUACAAAUGGUUAUUUUCCACUAUGAUGUCAAUACACAUUAAUUUG
rnacentral:lncRNA from 1 species